GUGCUGUACGGUGUACAUUUUAGGACAUCGUCAGGUAUCAGAAAAAAAAUUGUCAGGUGUCAGUUGUCAAAAAAAAAAUUGUCAGGUAUCAGAAAAAAAAUUGUCAGGUGUCAGUUGUCAAAAAAAAAAAGUCAGGUAUCAGACAAAAAAUUGUCAGGUGUCAGAAAAAAAGUUGUCAGGUAUCAGAAAAAAAAUUGUCAGGUGUCAGAAAAAAAGUUGUCAGGUGUCAGAAAAAAAAUUGUCAGGUGUCAGAAAAAAAAUUGUCAGGUGUCAGAAAAAAAGUUGUCAGGUGUCAGAAAAAAAAUUGUCAGGUGUCAGAAAAAAAAUUGUCAGGUGUUAGAAAAAAAAUUGUCAGGUGUCAGAAAAAAAGUUGUCAGGUGUCAGAACACAAGGUACCAGAGAGAAAAUCUUCCUGCAGGUGGCGCUGUUGUCAUGUCCCACCCGAAUUGAUUUCCAAAUACGUCAUCAACGUGUGACCGUGGGAGAGCGUAAGGUCAUUGACCUCACCGGAGUUUUACCGUGGUUCAGGCUCCUAACGACACAAGGUAAGUUUAACUUUUUCUCCCUUUUGUUCAUAUUUUUGCCACAGUUGUGUUAUAUUAAGUUGCAGUUAUGUUGUGAAAGUUACAUAUCAGAGACGGAAAGCCAGUUUUGUACGAAACCAAAUCAGUACUAUUUUUGUCUGGCUAAUUCAUUCUAGCUAGCGACAGUGGUGAAACGUGAUUCAAAUUUAAACUGUUCAGUAAUUGUUUUGUAUACAUUUCAGCAAAUGGACAAGCUGAAAGCUUACGAGCAGCUUAAAAAAGACCUUGAAAAUGGUAAUCCAACACUUUAUUAAACUUUUUGGUAAUGC
ensembl:lncRNA